rnacentral:rRNA from 1 species
UGCAACUCGAGUGCAUGAAGCUGGAAUCGCUAGUAAUCGCGGAUCAGCAUGCCGCGGUGAAUACGUUCCCGGGUCUUGUACACACCGCCCGUCACACCAUGGGAGUGGGUUUUACCAGAAGUGGCUAGUCUAACCGCAAGGAGGACGGUCACCACGGUAGGAUUCAUGACUGGGGUGAAGUCGUAACAAGGUAGCCGUAUCGGAAGGUGCGGCUGGAUCACCUCCUUUCUCGAGCUAAUACCGCAAAAUUGAGCGUUCACGCUUAUCGGCUGUAAAUCAAGACAGACUCAGGG